rnacentral:rRNA from 1 species
UACGUGAGGGGGCGAGCGUUGUCCGGAAUUAUUGGGCGUAAAGAGCUCGUAGGCGGCCUGUCGCGUCGGAUGUGAAAGCCCGGGGCUUAACCCCGGGGUCUGCAUUCGAUACGGGCAGGCUAGAGUGUGGUAGGGGAGAUCGGAAUUCCUGGUGUAGCGGUGAAAUGCGCAGAUAUCAGGAGGAACACCGGUGGCGAAGGCGGAUCUCUGGGCCAUUACUGACGCUGAGGAGCGAAAGCGUGGGGAGCAAACAGG